rnacentral:ncRNA from 1 species
CGGACUUCUGGAGAGACCUGAUGAUGACAAUCAUCACCACGUUAGAAACGUGGAUACAGGCGCCGAAGGGGCAAAGUUGUCACAGACAACUCAAACUCUCAGGCAAAAGGACAGAAGAUA